AUGUGUGACCAGCUGUUUUGUGUUUUGUUUGAAUGUGUGACCAGCUGUUUUGUGUUUGAAUGUCUGACCAGCUGUUUUGUGUUUGAAUGUCUCUGUACUCUGCAGUUUGAGGGUAAAUUGGUGGAUGUCAUGAAUAAACAUUUAAAUCCCCCCCCCCCCACACCGGGAUGGAAAGUGAAAGUGAAAGUGAAAGUGAAAGGAGGAGCCGGCAGUUGGAGUGGCAGGCAGACAGACUCUCCGUCUGGUCCGGUCCGGUCUCUGAGGAACGACAACAUGCCGAACCCCGGUGUGUGCCUGGAGGCCCUGGAGGCUCUGACCGGGUUCAGGGUGGAGUCCUCCGGCGGCCCGUCGCAGCUCAGCCCGCAGGACUUCGUCAACAUCGUGGCCCUGAAGGAGUUCUAUAAGCAGGAGGGCCUGAAGCAGCUGGACUACCCGAGUCUGGGCUCUCUGUCCCUGCAGGACCCGCAGGAGGACGCGGACCUGUACAGCGCCCCCCCGGCCCUGACCGAGGGCCCCGGGCCGGAGCAGAACCGGAUCAUCACGGUGAGGAUCAACCCGGAGGACUUCUUCGACCCGUCCUACGACUACGACUUCACCUCAGUCAAGGACGGAAACAAGGCCUUCCUGCGCGGGAACGAGCUCUACGUGCGUCCCUGCGGCUGGAAUCGGGCCGCCAUCCGCGUCGUGCAGCGGUACGGCGACGGGGACGGCUGGCUCGGGACGGGUGAGACCGCCUGGCCCGUCUCCUACCACGGACACGCCAUGGACGGCUCCCACGGCAUCAUCCUGACCCACGGCGGCGGCCACGGAGACCAGCCCGAGUUUCUGGACGCCGCCGCCGCCUCUCUGGUCCACAGUGAGACCCGAGGCAGAGGGGUGUACUCCACACCGGACAUCAGCGUGGCGGAGAAGUUCUGCAGGAAGUUCACGUCCAAAGUGGACGGCAAGACCUACAAAGUGCUCCUGCAGAACCGCAUCAACCCGCAGAACAGGAAGAAGUGCCAGAGAGAAGGCGUCUGGUUGGUUUACAUCCCCGACGGCACCAGCGACCUGCAGACCAGGAUCAUGGUGCAGAACUCCAUCCGUCCCUACGGACUCCUGCUGAAACAGGCCUGA
rnacentral:lncRNA from 1 species